AUGCUGCUUCUCGCCCGGUACCGACUCGUCCUGCGCGUCCCGGUCCGGCUUUUUGAGUUCGGAAGGCGGGCUGGUGUUGAGAGUGGCGACCUGCGCGGCCAUGAUUCCCGGUGUGUCGGUCCUCCUCCGGUGUGUCAGCGCGGCGCCUCACUCGCAGACGAACUCCGGACAACCAUGGAAAAUAAAUACGAUUAUUUCAGCAACGACGUCCCCGCCGUCCCGGUUCAUCCCCCCGCUGCCCUCCUCCCGGACCGAUCUCCGGUAAUCCACGGCGGCUCCGCAGCAAAUGAGAGGAGCCGGCGCAGGAAAGUGGAGGAAAGCAUGAAAUUACAACCUGUGCAGAGCCAGAGGAGAGGGGGGAUAGAGAAGGAAGACGGAUGGGGGAUGGAUGGAGGCAGCCGAAGAGCCGGAAGUGCAGACCCAAAAAGAGAAGCAUGAAGUGGAGAGUGUGCAGCCACCAAGAGCCUGCUGUCAGUCAGAGGUCAGCCCCAGCCAGCUCAUGCAGGGAGCAGAAGAUCUGGAGGAAGGCCUGCAGUCGCUCAUUAACAGGGACAGACUGCACUGCUCUUCAGCUGGUGCUCCCUCCCCACCCCCGUGCUGCCUGUUCCCUGCCUGCCUCGCACGCUCAGCAGCCUUCGUGCUCCCUUCAAGUGUCGUCGGUAUUUUCACCAUCACAGAAAUGACAGAUAAAUGCGUCUUGAAGCAACGUUGAUAAACUAAACCUGUGUUCCUAAUCAUCAACAACCCCAACCAAUGAGCCGCUGUUAACUUCCAGCAGGCUUUUGCUUUAGUCAUGUCAAAAACGCGUAUGUGUUUGUCAGAAAAACAUUGAUCCACGAGCUGACAUGAAGAUGCUGAGGCUCUCUUUGGGAGAAACCGGAUGAUAAGAUCAGGAAUGAAUCCAUCAGAGGAACAGAUCAUGUGGAGACCUCUAAAGGGAGCAAAACAAGGAGGAGAUGGCUUCAGAUGUUUUGUACAAGUGUUUGCUGGAAAGGCAUGCAAGCACCAAAAGCACGUCUUCAAAUUCACUUUUUGUAUAAAUGUAGACUGGAUCAAUCAGAGGAAAAUCCCAAAGAGAUGCAUGUUACAGUCAAUCUGGAUGUUGAGUCAGGAAAAUGGUGUCUUUUGAGGAGGAUCCUGGAAAUGGUUAUAAAGUCCUCUUGGUGCUCUCUUUUUAGUUAAAGUAGCGCCAUCACUUUUACAUUUAGAAUAAAGAAUUUGAAUAAAAAAUGACUUUUAGAUGAAAAUUUAUUUAGUUUUUAGAUAAGUUUGAGAGUGGAAGUGUUGCAUCCUGGGCCUUGGAUCUGUUUAAUGAAAUUUAUUUGAACCUUUUUCUUUAAACUUUGGUUCUCAGUUUGUUUGGUGGUUCUGUGAGAGGAACCAGAAAGAACCAACUUUUUCCUAUUUUCUUUAUAUUUUCGGUUUUUAUAGGUCCAGAUGCUGUUAACUGUUCUUUGUUGUGCUUUCAGU
rnacentral:lncRNA from 1 species